rnacentral:rRNA from 1 species
CGAGCGAACAGACGAGGAGCUUGCUCCUCUGACGUUAGCGGCGGACGGGUGAGUAACACGUGGAUAACCUACCUAUAAGACUGGGAUAACUUCGGGAAACCGGAGCUAAUACCGGAUAAUAUAUUGAACCGCAUGGUUCAAUAGUGAAAGACGGUUUUGCUGUCACUUAUAGAUGGAUCCGCGCCGCAUUAGCUAGUUGGUAAGGUAACGGCUUACCAAGGCAACGAUGCGUAGCCGACCUGAGAGGGUGAUCGGCCACACUGGAACUGAGACACGGUCCAGACUCCUACGGGAGGCAGCAGUAGGGAAUCUUCCGCAAUGGGCGAAAGCCUGACGGAGCAACGCCGCGUGAGUGAUGAAGGUCUUCGGAUCGUAAAACUCUGUUAUUAGGGAAGAACAAAUGUGUAAGUAACUAUGCACGUCUUGACGGUACCUAAUCAGAAAGCCACGGCUAACUACGUGCCAGCAGCCGCGGUAAUACGUAGGUGGCAAGCGUUAUCCGGAAUUAUUGGGCGUAAAGCGCGCGUAGGCGGUUUUUUAAGUCUGAUGUGAAAGCCCACGGCUCAACCGUGGAGGGUCAUUGGAAACUGGAAAACUUGAGUGCAGAAGAGGAAAGUGGAAUUCCAUGUGUAGCGGUGAAAUGCGCAGAGAUAUGGAGGAACACCAGUGGCGAAGGCGACUUUCUGGUCUGUAACUGACGCUGAUGUGCGAAAGCGUGGGGAUCAAACAGGAUUAGAUACCCUGGAGUCCACGCCGUAAACGAUGAGUGCUAAGUGUUAGGGGGUUUCCGCCCCUUAGUGCUGCAGCUAACGCAUUAAGCACUCCGCCUGGGGAGUACGACCGCAGG